rnacentral:rRNA from 1 species
ACCUACGGGACGCAGCAGUGGGGGAUAUUGCACAAUGGGGGAAACCCUGAUGCAGCGACGCCGCGUGUGGGAAGACGGUCCUCUGGAUUGUAAACCACUGUCCCCAGGGACGAAGAUGACGGUACCUGGGGAGGAAGCUCCGGCUAACUACGUGCCAGCAGCCGCGGUAAUACGUAGGGAGCGAGCGUUGUCCGGAAUUACUGGGUGUAAAGGGAGCGUAGGCGGGACUGCAAGUCAGAUGUGAAAAUUAUGGGCUCAACCCAUAACCUGCAUUUGAAACUGUAGUUCUUGAGUGAUGGAGAGGC